UUGGGUUGCUGAAUUAGAGAUCGGCGCCUGUAUUUAUUAUCUAUAAUUUGGAGUAUGACAAUGUCUCUAAGUGUUGAAGCUAAAGCUAAAAUUGUAGCUGACUUUGGUCGUGGUACU
rfam:Chania multitudinisentens RB-25, complete genome.